rnacentral:misc_RNA from 1 species
UCCUCCUGCUGAUAAUUAUCCUUCAAGUUGCAUGAUUAUUAUAUUCUCCAGGUAACUGAAGAUCUUGAUGAAGCCUCGAGAAACAACUGCGCAGUUAUGAAGAUCCACCUAUACACUACUCUACUAUGUUUUCUGACUCUAAUAACGUGUCAGAAGCUGACUGGAAAACAGGUCAAAAUGAAGGGAAAACAGGUCAAAAUGAAGGAAACACAGACCGACCCGGAUACCUUGUGCAUCACAAAUUUGGUAACUGCUGAGUUUACUCUAAACAAUAAGGUCAGAUUCUUCGAUCAGCAGAUAUCCAGGAUACAAAGCCAGAUUUUUAUUAUGGAAAAGAAACAGGAAAAAAAGAAUGGAUUUUUUAUCGUUGCUGAAAUGUUAGAUGCUAUCACGAGUACAAGUAUCUCACCAUCAUGUUCAAAUUCCCAAAACAGGGAUGUAACUGUAGAUUUGUCUGAAUGCUCUGGUAGAAUUGUUGCCGCCUGCCCAGUGCUGAGCAUAAAUGAAACCCUAACUGGUGUAUGUAUGGAUCUUGUUCUAGGGUAUAAAGCAAAGGUUGCUGAAUGUGAAAAACUUGUUGAUUUGAAUCUGAUCUGUGAUUGUUGGGCUGAUACCGUAGAACUCAGAAUGAAGAGAUAAAUGAUAGUUUCUUGAUUUGCUUGCGUUUUCUCUUGUCGAGGUCUUAUAUAAGAUUGCUCUCUUUAGGAAAGGUUUAGAUGGCUGCAGUGCAUUUGAAGAGAGUCAACGAAUUUUAAAACAGUUCAAUCAAUGUAAAAGUGAAUUUUCAGCU